UACGUAGGUGGCAAGCGUUGUCCGGAUUUACUGGGCGUAAAGAGCGCGCAGGCGGUCGUUCAAGUCGCGUGUGAAAGCCCCCGGCUCAACUGGGGAGGGUCACGCGAUACUGCUCGACUCGAAGGCAGGAGAGGGAAGUGGAAUUCCCAGUGUAGCGGUGAAAUGCGUAGAUAUUGGGAGGAACACCAGUGGCGAAGCGGCUCACUGGACCGGAACUGACGCUGAGGCGCGAAAGCGUGGGAGCAACAGG
rnacentral:rRNA from 1 species